AUUGAUCACAAAGCUAAAAGAAUAUAUAAUAUCUUAUAUUAUACCAGAGAGAACUCAAACUUUAGAUCGCUAUGGUGUCAUGCAAGCGCUUUCUUCUUCUUGCUUCUUUUGUCUUGCUUUGCUUCAUAUCUCCCAGUGCUGGUAGAGCGCUGAGUUUGCAUGGCGAUGGUGAGAAAGGCAUGGACUAUAAGUUUAGUCCGAACCAAGCUGGUACUGCUGCUGGUGACACUGACGAAUUAGCGGCUAUGGAUUACACUCCGGCAAAAAAGAAUACUCCGAUUCAUAACUAAGAUGCCGCCGGCCAUAAGUUUUGUUGCGAAAUUAAGCAUUGCUUCAGCUUCCUCUGUGUUCCAACUUUUAUAGUUUGAUAUUCAUAUUUAGGAUAAAUCAAUGAAUAUUAGAAAAAUAAAAUAUUUUAUUAUUAUUAUUUGGAAACAGCACAAAAUUAAUGUUGCAAAAUAUAUAUAUCUCUUACUAGGCUUGCGGACCCUUUUGUAAAUUAGUGUUGCAAAAAUUUUGAGGUAUUUUCUGG